GAUGAACGCUGGCGGCGUGCCUAAUACAUGCAAGUCGAGCGAACGGACGAGAAGCUUGCUUUUCUGAUGUUAGCGGCGGACGGGUGAGUAACACGUGGAUAACCUACCUAUAAGACUGGGAUAACUUCGGGAAACCGGAGCUAAUAUCGGAUAAUAUUUUGAACCGCAUGGUUCAAAAGUGAAAGACGGUCUUGCUGUCACUUAUAGAUGGAUCCGCGCUGCAUUAGCUAGUUGGUAAGGUAACGGCUUACCAAGGCAACGAUGCAUAGCCGACCUGAGAGGGUGAUCGGCCACACUGGAACUGAGACACGGUCCAGACUCCUACGGGAGGCAGCAGUAGGGAAUCUUCCGCAAUGGGCGAAAGCCUGACGGAGCAACGCCGCGUGAGUGAUGAAGGUCUUCGGAUCGUAAAACUCUGUUAUUAGGGAAGAGCAUAUGUGUAAGUAACUGUGCACAUCUUGACGGUACCUAAUCAGAAAGCCACGGCUAACUACGUG
rnacentral:rRNA from 1 species